rnacentral:rRNA from 1 species
UACGGGGGGGAGCAAGCGUUGUUCGGAUUUACUGGGCGUAAAGGGCGCGUAGGCGGCGCAACAAGUCACUUGUGAAAUCUCCGGGCUUAACCCGGAGCGGUCAAGUGAUACUGUCGUGCUAGAGUGCGGAAGGGGCUACUGGAAUUCUCGGUGUAGCGGUGAAAUGCGCAGAUAUCAGGAGGAACACCGGUGGCGAAGGCGGGUCUCUGGGCAACAACUGACGCUGAGGAGCGAAAGCGUGGGGAGCGAACAGG